ACCGCAGCCAGGGAUCCUUCGGGCUCCAGCGCUCUUGGCAGAGGCCGGAGGUUUUAUUACUAUUGGAGUCUCAGUGCAGAUUUUACUUGACAUCAAUUUUUAGGGAAGUGGGACCAGAUCCAUCCCCUGCCAGUAACAACAGCUCACGAGAACUCAGCAGUUGUGUCCAGCAGCAUCCUUAAUACCUCACCAGCCAUUUCGAUAAGUGACUUCUUUCUGGAAGUAAAUAGCCUUAAUAUUGGAAGUCUGACAACUAUCAUCAUACUUUAACACUCUCUAGAAUGAAAGAAUAAAAUCUCAUGCUUGUAAGUCAAAGAACAGGAAAACUGGAUUUGUAUUUUGCUGUUCCUUCAGUGACUAUAUGGAGCUGACAAAGUAAUUUGAUUUGUUUAAGAACAUCUAUCAACAGAGAUGAUGGAGUCACAGAUAAACUAUAACAACACCCUACAGAAUUUACAAUGCAAACUGAUGUGCAUGAAUCACAGAAGAUACGAAGUGCAGCAAAACAAUUGUUGAGUGAUGAAAAUGUAAUCGAUGUUUUGCUUUAAUUAAUUUAAAGCUUUUUAUGUCGUGUCAUUCAUGCUUUCCCUGGCAAAAAAAAAAUUCA